GAUGAACGCUGGCGGCGUGCCUAAUACAUGCAAGUCGAGCGAACAGACGAGGAGCUUGCUCCUCUGACGUUAGCGGCGGACGGGUGAGUAACACGUGGAUAACCUACCUAUAAGACUGGGAUAACUUCGGGAAACCGGAGCUAAUACCGGAUAAUAUAUUGAACCGCAUGGUUCAAUAGUGAAAGACGGUUUUGCUGUCACUUAUAGAUGGAUCCGCGCCGCAUUAGCUAGUUGGUAAGGUAACGGCUUACCAAGGCAACGAUGCGUAGCCGACCUGAGAGGGUGAUCGGCCACACUGGAACUGAGGCACGGUCCAGACUCCUACGGGAGGCAGCAGUAGGGAAUCUUCCGCGAUGGGCGAAAGCUUGACGGAGCAACGCCGCGUGAGUGAUGAAGGUCUUCGGAUCGUAAAACUCUGUUAUUAGGGAAGAACAAAUGUGUAAGUAACUAUGCACGUCUUGACGGUACCUAAUGAGAAAGCCACGGCUAACUACGUG
rnacentral:rRNA from 1 species